rnacentral:rRNA from 1 species
AGCUCCAAUAGCGUAUAUUAAAGUUGUUGCAGUUAAAAAGCUCGUAGUUGAAUUUCUGAUAGAAGGGAGCGGUUCCGCAUUCUUGCGGAUACUUGCUCGUCUUCCGUCAUCCUUGGGCUUAGUCUCGCUGAUAUUAACUUAUCGGCGUGUACGAUGCCCAUCGUUUACUGUGAGCAAAUUAGAGUGUUCAAAGCAGACUUAUGUCGUUGAAUAUAUUAGCAUGGAAUAAUAAGAUAGGACCUAGUGACUAUUUUGUUGGUUUGCGUUAUUAGGUAAUGAUUAAGAGGGACAGUUGUGGGUAUUCGUAUUCAGAUGUCAGAGGUGAAAUUCUUAGAUUAUCGGAAGACGAACUACUGCGAAAGCAUUUACCAAGGAUGUUU